rnacentral:tRNA from 1 species
GCCGGCAUAGCUCAGUGGUAGAGCAACUGUCUUGUAAACAGUAGGUCCUCGGUUCAAGUCCGAGUGCCGGCUCCA